rnacentral:tRNA from 1 species
GCCUGGCUGGCUCAGUCAGUAGAGCAUGUGACUCUUGAUCUUGGGGUCAUGAGUUCCAACCCCAUGUUGGGUG